AGCGGCGGACGGGUGAGUAACACGUGGGUAACCUGCCUCAUAGAGUGGAAUAGCCUUCCGAAAGGAAGAUUAAUACCGCAUAAUGUUGAAAGAUGGCAUCAUCAUUCAACCAAAGGAGCAAUCCGCUAUGAGAUGGACCCGCGGCGCAUUAGCUAGUUGGUGGGGUAACGGCCUACCAAGGCGACGAUGCGUAGCCGACCUGAGAGGGUGAUCGGCCACAUUGGGACUGAGACACGGCCCAGACUCC
rnacentral:rRNA from 1 species